CCAAUAGCGUAUAUUAAAGUUGUUGCAGUUAAAAAGCUCGUAGUUGAAUUUCGGGAUCAAUAUGCCGGUCAUGCCUUGGUAUGCACUGGUAUCUUUGAUUUCUCUCUUCUGACGAACUUUGAUGUCAUUAAUUUGGUGUCAUAGGGAAUCAGGACUGUUACUUUGAAAAAAUUAGAGUGUUUAAAGCAAGCUCACGCUUG
rnacentral:rRNA from 1 species